UACGAAGGGGGCUAGCGUUGCUCGGAAUCACUGGGCGUAAAGGGUGCGUAGGCGGGUCUUUAAGUCAGGGGUGAAAUCCUGGAGCUCAACUCCAGAACUGCCUUUGAUACUGAGGAUCUUGAGUUCGGGAGAGGUGAGUGGAACUGCGAGUGUAGAGGUGAAAUUCGUAGAUAUUGCAAGAACACCAGUGGCGAAGGCGGCUCACUGGCCCGAUACUGACGCUGAGGCACGAAAGCGUGGGGAGCAAA
rnacentral:rRNA from 1 species